UUAGUCUUUUGUUGCUGCUUUUCCAGUGUGUUCUCAUCCAGCCAGGACUGCAGGUGGAAGAUGACAUACAUCAUAUUUAAAUCAACAGCAGAAAUGAGCAGAGUCGUGCACAAGCAAAUGAAACAUUCCCUUCCAGAACAUUCCAGGAGAUGUUAAAGCAGCAGGUCACAGCAGAAGACUGCUGAGUGACGGUGCUACCUACUUCUAAUGAGAUAGGAGUGAAUGUUGGAGCCACGCCCACCGCAACACAAUCCUCAGACUGCAUUCCUCUGGCAGUCCUCUCUCUCCAGCUCCCUACUAAAAAAACGUCAGAUGGUAAAAUAGUAAGGCAGCUGUUGACUUCUAUCAAAAAAAAAAAAAAAAAUCUGCAGGUCCAUACAUUUCCAGUUUAGUCACAUUCUGCUAGGACAGAUGGAGUAGCCAACGUCGAGAACUUCGCCGGAUGGGGCUGCUUCAGCAGAGUUUUAAAAAGUUUUAAAAAGAAUCAUUAUUAAGUUUUGCUUUUCACCAUGCUGGGUGCUUCAGCUCUCAGAGGACCCCAAAGACACAAAGCAUUGCUGGGGGACGUGAAAGGUCCUCUGGCUGAAUUUUCCAAGUUUCAUC
rnacentral:lncRNA from 1 species